CAGUCGCCGCGGGAAUACGUAGGUGGCAAGCGUUGCCCGGAAUUAUUGGGCGUAAAGGGCUCGCAGGCGGUUUCUUAAGUCUGAUGUGAAAGCCCCCGGCUCAACCGGGGAGGGUCAUUGGAAACUGGGAAACUUGAGUGCAGAAGAGGAGAGUGGAAUUCCACGUGUAGCGGUGAAAUGCGUAGAGAUGUGGAGGAACACCAGUGGCGAAGGCGACUCUCUGGUCUGUAACUGACGCUGAGGAGCGAAAGCGUGGGGAGCGAACAGGAUUAGAUACCCCAGUAGUCCCUGUCUCUUAUAC
rnacentral:rRNA from 1 species